rnacentral:misc_RNA from 1 species
GAAUAUCGUAGCUGACAAUCAUCCGCAUAUGCAAAUGCCUCCUUUUUCUUUGGACAGAUCUCUGAAAUAUUGUGUGUAGAGGCACGGACACAGCUUCAACAGAUAUCUGCAGAAAUAUCUCCUCUACAAAACACAAUCGGGACUUGGCCGAAAGAGAGAUUGUAAAACCUGAAAUUAUCUCCGUUGGGCUGAGAAGGGAGGAUGG